GCGCGCCAUCGUCCGAGGCGGUCGCACAGUCCACGUGCCAUAACCGUAACCACAACCUGCCAGCCGUUCAAAAAAAAAACCCAAAACUCAAAUACGAACCGAAAACUGCCUUCACCAAGUACCUAACCUAAAAAAAAGCUGCCAAAAGAAACCAAAUACCAAAAAAAAAAAAUAUACAAAAAAAAAAAAAA
rnacentral:sRNA from 1 species